rnacentral:rRNA from 1 species
UACGGAGGGUGCGAGCGUUGUCCGGAAUUAUUGGGCGUAAAGGGCUCGUAGGCGGUCUGUCACGUCGGGAGUGAAAACUCGGGGCUCAACCCCGAGCCUGCUUCCGAUACGGGCAGACUAGAGGUAUGCAGGGGAGAAUGGAAUUCCUGGUGUAGCGGUGAAAUGCGCAGAUAUCAGGAGGAACACCAGUGGCGAAGGCGACUUCCUGGCCUGUUCUUGACGCUGAGGCGCGAAAGCUAGGGUAGCAAACGGG